CGGAGUAUAGUAUAGUGGUAGUACGCAAGGCUGGGGGUCUUGUAGUUUGGGUUCGAUUCCCAAUACUCCGA
rnacentral:tRNA from 1 species